rnacentral:rRNA from 1 species
AGUCGAGGGGCAGCAUUUCAGUUUGCUUGCAAACUGGAGAUGGCGACCGGCGCACGGGUGAGUAACACGUAUCCAACCUGCCGAUAACUCGGGGAUAGCCUUUCGAAAGAAAGAUUAAUACCCGAUGGCAUAAUAAAACCGCAUGGUUUUUUUAUUAAAGAAUUUCGGUUAUCGAUGGGGAUGCGUUCCAUUAGGCAGUUGGUGAGGUAACGGCUCACCAAACCUUCGAUGGAUAGGGGUUCUGAGAGGAAGGUCCCCCACAUUGGAACUGAGACACGGUCCAAACUCCUACGGGAGGCAGCAGUGAGGAAUAUUGGUCAAUGGGCGCAGGCCUGAACCAGCCAAGUAGCGUGAAGGAUGACUGCCCUAUGGGUUGUAAACUUCUUUUAUAUGGGAAUAAAGUUUUCCACGUGUGGAAUUUUGUAUGUACCAUAUGAAUAAGGAUCGGCUAACUCCGUGCCAGCAGCCGCGGUAAUACGGAGGAUCCGAGCGUUAUCCGGAUUUAUUGGGUUUAAAGGGAGCGUAGGUGGACAGUUAAGUCAGUUGUGAAAGUUUGCGGCUCAACCGUAAAAUUGCAGUUGAUACUGGCUGUCUUGAGUACAGUAGAGGUGGGCGGAAUUCGUGGUGUAGCGGUGAAAUGCUUAGAUAUCACGAAGAACUCCGAUUGCGAAGGCAGCUCACUGGACUGCAACUGACACUGAUGCUCGAAAGUGUGGGUAUCAAACAGGAUUAGAUACCCUGGUAGUCCACACAGUAAACGAUGAAUACUCGCUGUUUGCGAUAUACAGUAAGCGGCCAAGCGAAAGCAUUAAGUAUUCCACCUGGGGAGUACGCCGGCAACGGUGAAACUCAAAGGAAUUGACGGGGGCCCGCACAAGCGGAGGAACAUGUGGUUUAAUUCGAUGAUACGCGAGGAACCUUACCCGGGCUUAAAUUGCAUUUGAAUAUAUUGGAAACAGUAUAGCCGUAAGGCAAAUGUGAAGGUGCUGCAUGGUUGUCGUCAGCUCGUGCCGUGAGGUGUCGGCUUAAGUGCCAUAACGAGCGCAACCCUUAUCUUUAGUUACUAACAGGUCAUGCUGAGGACUCUAGAGAGACUGCCGUCGUAAGAUGUGAGGAAGGUGGGGAUGACGUCAAAUCAGCACGGCCCUUACGUCCGGGGCUACACACGUGUUACAAUGGGGGGUACAGAAGGCAGCUACCUGGUGACAGGAUGCUAAUCCCAAAAGCCUCUCUCAGUUCGGAUCGAAGUCUGCAACCCGACUUCGUGAAGCUGGAUUCGCUAGUAAUCGCGCAUCAGCCAUGGCGCGGUGAAUACGUUCCCGGGCCUUGUACACACCGCCCGUCAAGCCAUGAAAGCCGGGGGUACCUGAAGUACGUAACCGCAAGGAGC